rnacentral:rRNA from 1 species
GAUGAACGCUGGCGGCGUGCCUAAUACAUGCAAGUCGAGCGAACGGACGAGAAGCUUGCUUCUCUGAUGUUAGCGGCGGACGGGUGAGUAACACGUGGAUAACCUACCUAUAAGACUGGGAUAACUUCGGGAAACCGGAGCUAAUACCGGAUAAUAUUUUGAACCGCAUGGUUCAAAAGUGAAAGACGGUCUUGCUGUCACUUAUAGAUGGAUCCGCGCUGCAUUAGCUAGUUGGUAAGGUAACGGCUUACCAAGGCAACGAUGCAUAGCCGACCUGAGAGGGUGAUCGGCCACACUGGAACUGAGACACGGUCCAGACUCCUACGGGAGGCAGCAGUAGGGAAUCUUCCGCAAUGGGCGAAAGCCUGACGGAGCAACGCCGCGUGAGUGAUGAAGGUCUUCGGAUCGUAAAACUCUGUUAUUAGGGAAGAACAUAUGUGUAAGUAACUGUGCACAUCUUGACGGUACCUAAUCAGAAAGCCACGGCUAACUACGUGCCAGCAGCCGCGGUAAUACGUAGGUGGCAAGCGUUAUCCGGAAUUAUUGGGCGUAAAGCGCGCGUAGGCGGUUUUUUAAGUCUGAUGUGAAAGCCCACGGCUCAACCGUGGAGGGUCAUUGGAAACUGGAAAACUUGAGUGCAGAAGAGGAAAGUGGAAUUCCAUGUGUAGCGGUGAAAUGCGCAGAGAUAUGGAGGAACACCAGUGGCGAAGGCGACUUUCUGGUCUGUAACUGACGCUGAUGUGCGAAAACGUGGGGAUCAAACAGGAUUAGAUACCCUGGUAGUCCACGCCGUAAACGAUGAGUGCUAAGUGUUAGGGGGUUUCCGCCCCUUAGUGCUGCAGCUAACGCAUUAAGCACUCCGCCUGGGGAGUACGACCGCAAGGUUGAAACUCAAAGGAAUUGACGGGGACCCGCACAAGCGGUGGAGCAUGUGGUUUAAUUCGAAGCAACGCGAAGAACCUUACCAAAUCUUGACAUCCUUUGACAACUCUAGAGAUAGAGCCUUCCCCUUCGGGGGACAAAGUGACAGGUGGUGCAUGGUUGUCGUCAGCUCGUGUCGUGAGAUGUUGGGUUAAGUCCCGCAACGAGCGCAACCCUUAAGCUUAGUUGCCAUCAUUAAGUUGGGCACUCUAAGUUGACUGCCGGUGACAAACCGGAGGAAGGUGGGGAUGACGUCAAAUCAUCAUGCCCCUUAUGAUUUGGGCUACACACGUGCUACAAUGGACAAUACAAAGGGCAGCGAAACCGCGAGGUCAAGCAAAUCCCAUAAAGUUGUUCUCAGUUCGGAUUGUAGUCUGCAACUCGACUACAUGAAGCUGGAAUCGCUAGUAAUCGUAGAUCAGCAUGCUACGGUGAAUACGUUCCCGGGUCU